UACGAAGGGGGCUAGCGUUGCUCGGAAUUACUGGGCGUAAAGCGCACGUAGGCGGACUCUUAAGUCGGUGGUGAAAUCCUGGAGCUCAACUCCAGAACUGCCUUCGAUACUGGGAGUCUUGAGUCCGGGAGAGGUGAGUGGAACUGCGAGUGUAGAGGUGAAAUUCGUAGAUAUUCGCAAGAACACCAGUGGCGAAGGCGGCUCACUGGCCCGGUACUGACGCUGAGGUGCGAAAGCGUGGGGAGCGAACAGG
rnacentral:rRNA from 1 species